UACUACGAGCAUCAGCUUAAAACCCAAAGGACUUGGCGGUGCUUCAGAUCCACCUAGAGGAGCCUGUUCUAAAACCGAUAAUCCCCGUUAAACCUCACCCUCUCUUGCAUCUAUCCCGUCUGUAUACCUCCGUCGUCAGCUUACCCUGUGAGGGCCUAAUAGUAAGCACAAUUACAUUACCUCAAAACGUCAGGUCGAGGUGCAGCUUAUGAGAGGGGAUGAAAUGGGCUACAUUCCCUAUCUCAGGGCAUACGGAUAAUUUACUGAAACGUUUAUUUGAAGGAGGAUUUAGCAGUAAGGGGAAAAUAGAGCGUUCCCCUGAACCCGGCACUAAAGCGCGUACACACCG
rnacentral:rRNA from 1 species